CCCCAAGAGUUCACAUCGACGGGGAGGUUUGGCACCUCGAUGUCGGCUCAUCGCAUCCUGGGGCUGUAGUCGGUCCCAAGGGUUGGGCUGUUCGCCCAUUAAAGCGGUACGCGAGCUGGGUUCAGAACGUCGUGAGACAGUUCGGUCCCUAUCCGUCGUGGGCGUAGGAAAUUUGAGAGGAGCUGUCCUUAGUACGAGAGGACCGGGAUGGACAUACCUCUGGUGUACCAGUUGUCGUGCCAACGGCAUAGCUGGGUAGCUAUGUGUGGACGGGAUAAGUGCUGAAAGCAUCUAAGCAUGAAGCCCCCCUCAAGAUGAGAUUUCCCAACUUCGGUUAUAAGAUCCCUCAAAGAUGAUGAGGUUAAUAGGUUCGAGGUGGAAGCAUGGUGACAUGUGGAGCUGACGAAUACUAAUCGAUCGAAGACUUAAUCAA
rnacentral:rRNA from 1 species